rnacentral:rRNA from 1 species
UACAGAGGUCUCAAGCGUUGUUCGGAUUCAUUGGGCGUAAAGGGUGUGUAGGUGGCGCGCUAAGUCGGGUGUGAAAUUUCGGAGCUUAACUCCGAAACUGCAUUCGAUACUGGCGUGCUUGAGGACUGGAGAGGAUAGUGGAAUUCCCAGUGUAGUGGUGAAAUACGUAGAGAUUGGGAAGAACACCAGUGGCGAAGGCGGCUAUCUGGACGGUUUCUGACACUAAGACUCGAAAGCGUGGGGAGCAAACAGG